rnacentral:lncRNA from 1 species
CAAUGAGUCACCAUCUCUUAUAUAUUCUCUUUCUAUUUUUACUAUUCCAUUUUGUAAAGUUUCAGACACAGGGAAAGGGAGAGAAGAUAGUGUAAGACAUCUCUGGCAGCUAUUACUCAGCUUCAGCAACAAUAAGUUCCAUGAGGUGAAUGCAUGUAUGAGCAGUCAGAGUCUUGAAAGAAAGAGAUGAUAUUUUGAAGGUACGGGCUGUGUCUGGGGACUUAAUAAGAGAUAGUAAAGGGCCCUGAGCUCCAAACAAUGAAGACUGCCACCAACCCUGAGCUCAAAGGCAUGAGAGGAGGCAGCCGUUAUUGCAACCCUGAGAGGCUGUCUGUCUGGACGGAUGACCUUCAGUAAAAAGACCUCUUCAACUCUGACCACCUGGCAAGGAGAGAUUCUAAGACGUGGAUGAAACACAGUCAGAACCCGAGAAUGCCAUGGCUUGGGAGGAAGGACAUUAUUGCUUUGAGCACCUGGAAAGGGAACACACUCACACACACCUCUUCAAGAGUUACAGGGACAGCGGCUGUUCUUCAGGACCGUCCUGUCUGGAAUACAGUAAGGCCAUGGCAGCCUGGCUAAAGAUGAAGAGUGUGGGCCUGCAGAGUGGAUCAGGGUCAGUAUCCUGAGGGCAGUCCUGGCCCAAGUGGGUCUGAGCAAGCUCAGCUCCAGGCAGCUUUUCAGUUCAUUGCCUGCCUCCGAGAAGCAAUGCAGUGACUGCUCCAUAGUUGUCCCC